rnacentral:snoRNA from 1 species
UUCGUGCGGCGGCACGGCCAUAUCUUCCCCAUGUUGCUCAUGUCUGCUCAUCGCACUUUUGUGCGAUGCCCACGCGGAUGUUCGAGUGUCAGGCCGUGCUCUGAGCAAUACUGGACGUCUUAGCACCCAUAUCUCGUCUUUGUUUCUCCCCAAGGAGGAGAUGGGUCGGUGGUUCAUACAUAC